rnacentral:rRNA from 1 species
CAUAUCAAUAAGCGGAGGAAAAGAAACUAACAAGGAUUCCCCUAGUAACUGCGAGUGAAGCGGGAAAAGCUCAAAUUUAAAAUCUGGCGGUCUUUGGCUGCCCGAGUUGUAAUCUAGAGAAGUGUUAUCCGUGCUGGACCGUGUACAAGUCUCCUGGAAUGGAGCGUCAUAGAGGGUGAGAAUCCCGUCUUUGACACGGACUGCCAGGACUUUGUGAUGCGCUCUCAAAGAGUCGAGUUGUUUGGGAAUGCAGCUCAAAAUGGGUGGUAAAUUCCAUCUAAAGCUAAAUAUUGGCGAGAGACCGAUAGCGAACAAGUACCGUGAGGGAAAGAUGAAAAGAACUUUGGAAAGAGAGUUAAACAGUACGUGAAAUUGCUGAAAGGGAAACGCUUGAAGUCAGUCGCGUUGUCCAGGGAUCAACCUUGCUUUUGCUUGGUGCACUUUCUGGUUGACGGGUCAGCAUCAAUUUUGAUCAUUGGAAAAAGAUUAGGGGAAUGUGGCAUCUUUGGAUGUGUUAUAGCCCUUGGUUGCAUACAAUGGUUGGGAUUGAGGAACUCAGCACGCCGCAAGGCCGGGUUUUUAACCACGUACGUGCUUAGGAUGCUGGCAUAAUGGCUUUAAUCGACCCGUCUUGAAACACGGACCAAGGAGUCUAACAUGCCUGCGAGUGUUUGGGUGGAAAACCCGAGCGCGUAAUGAAAGUGAAAGUUGAGAUCCCUGUCGUGGGGAGCAUCGACGCCCGGACCAGACCUUUUGUGACGGUUCCGCGGUAGAGCAUGUAUGUUGGGACCCGAAAGAUGGUGAACUAUGCCUGAAUAGGGUGAAGCCAGAGGAAACUCUGGUGGAGGCUCGUAGCGAUUCUGACGUGCAAAUCGAUCGUCAAAUUUGGGUAUAGGGGCGAAAGACUAAUCGAACCAUCUAGUAGCUGGUUCCUGCC